rnacentral:rRNA from 1 species
GACGAACGCUGGCAGCGUGCUUAACACAUGCAAGUCGAACGAUGAAGCUGGAGCUUGCUCCGGUGGAUUAGUGGCGAACGGGUGAGUAACACGUGAGCAAUCUGCCCUUGACUCUGGGAUAACUGCGGGAAACUGUAGCUAAUACCGGAUACUUUCACUGGAAGGCAUCUUCUGGUGAAGAAAGAAUUUCGGUCAAGGAUGAGCUCGCGGCCUAUCAGCUUGUUGGUGAGGUAACGGCUCACCAAGGCGACGACGGGUAGCCGGCCUGAGAGGGUGACCGGCCACACUGGGACUGAGACACGGCCCAGACUCCUACGGGAGGCAGCAGUGGGGAAUAUUGCACAAUGGGCGCAAGCCUGAUGCAGCAACGCCGCGUGAGGGAUGAAGGCCUUCGGGUUGUAAACCUCUUUUAGCAGGGAAGAAGCGAAAGUGACGGUACCUGCAGAAAAAGCACCGGCUAACUACGUGCCAGCAGCCGCCGUAACAC